ACAGCGGGCCCGGGUCAGAUAUGGGCUCUGUCUGGACUCGGUCCACGCGGGGGCGACCUUGGCCUCCCAACUCCUGCGUGUCCCAACGUGCUCCCUCCCUUGGCGCGAGUUCCCUCAGGACUUUGCUGCGCGUGAAGUGGGAUGACAAACGGGUCCCCACAAGCAUGAGAGGACACUGGAGCCCGGGUGGCCAAGUGCCCCUGCCUCCUCAAGCUGAGAAGGUGAGCUCUCUGGGCAAGGACUGGCACAAGUUCUGUCUCAAGUGUGAGCGCUGCGGCAAGACACUGACCCCCGGGGGCCACGCUGAGCACGACGGGAGGCCGUUCUGCCACAAGCCCUGCUAUGCCACGCUGUUCGGACCCAAAGGGGUGAAUAUCGGAGGGGCCGGCUCCUACAUCUACGAGAAACCCUCUGCCGAGGGCCCCCAGGUCACCGGCCCCAUCGAGGUGCCCGUGGUCCGGGCUGAGGAGCGCAAGGCCAGCGGCCCCCCGAGGGGGCCCAGCAAAGCCUCCAGCGUCACCACGUUCACGGGGGAGCCCAACGUGUGUCCUCGCUGCAACAAGAGGGUCUACUUUGCCGAGAAGGUGACCUCUCUGGGCAAGGACUGGCACCGCCCGUGCCUGCGCUGUGAGCGCUGUGGGAAGACGCUGACUCCAGGCGGGCACGCGGAGCAUGAUGGCCAGCCCUAUUGCCACAAGCCCUGCUACGGAAUACUCUUUGGACCGAAAGGAGUGAAUACCGGAGCCGUGGGCAGCUACAUCUAUGACAGAGACCCAGAGGGCAAAGCUCAGCCCUAGGGAUGCAGCCGGUCCCCAAGGAGCCGGGCCUUCUCCUCUGCCGGCCCUGCUCCAGAGCCUACUGCCUGGCCCUAUGGGGGAGAGCGGCCAGCCGUCCGGUCCUCCCCCUGCACGUCCAGGGCCCGGGUGUUGUGCGGGAGGAGGCCCCCCUGCCUAGCCCCGUUUCUCUCCCCUGCCCGUGGUCCCACACGGCCCCGCGUGUCUCCUGGCCCUCCGCGGGUCUGUCUGAGGUGGGCGUCCCGCUCUCCCCCUCCUACUGCCCCAGGCCUGCCUCACAGUGUUAUUUCUGCUCCCCUCGCCGGUGACACUGCCCCGCUCUUCACGGUGUUCCCAGGGCGGACCCAGGGCGUCCCUGCCAGGAGCCCUCUGCCCAUCGCCCCCACCGCCUUGCAGUGCUUGCCUGACACCCUCACGCGGCUCACAUGUAACUGCUGAGAUUGCCGUCAAUAAAGGCUCCGGCGGAAACCAGGCCGAUCUACCCUGACCUGCCCCUAGCACCGCAGCCCCAGAAGCUUGACCUCCUCAAAGCCGGGGCAUCUGGGCCCCUGUGCCCUGCACCCCAGGACCAGCUCUCUGUGCCUCAAGCCUUGGCACAGGGCCCCUCCCCGGCUCUCCCUCCAGUCCACCAGCUCAGACACAGCUGAGCCCGCGUGCACGCCAUAGCCAUUGUCCUUGGAGCGGCCAUGCGUGUCCCUGGGGGUGGAUCCGCCGGCUCGGGUGUCCAGCGAUGCCAGGCCGUCCCAUCGCACUGUGGGC